AGCUAGUGGAAAAACAAGAGAAGGGAAGUCAAAAGGCUACUUGCUGUCAGCUAAAGCCAGACAACCUCUCCUGUUUCAUCUCCUGGCAACAGAAUGCAUCCUCCUUUUGGGAAACUGCCUCUUUCCCCACUCCUCAGAGUAAAUCUUGCUGCUGCUCACUCUUUGGGUCUGCACUGCCCAUAAGAGCUGUAGCACUCACCGCGAAGGUCUGCAGCUUCACUCUUGAAACCAGAGAGACCACGAACCUACCGGGAGAAAUGAACAAAUUCCGGACGCACCAUCUUUAAGAACUGUAACACUCACUGCGAGGAUCUGCGGCUUCAUUCUUUAAGUCUGUGAGACCAAGAACCCACCAAUUCCGGCACACUAAUAUGCUGUUGGAAACUGGCUAUAUGGAAAGGCUAUGUGGAAGAAAACAAACACCCCAGCCAACAUAAUGGAGCUCCCAGCUGACAGCUGACAUCUAGCUGAUUGCCAACCACUUUGGAAACUGAUCUUCAAAACCCACUUGAGCUAUGUCAAGAGAAGCCACCUGUGACACAGAAGCAGAAGGAUCCAAGUCAAAGGAGUUUAUUUGGGAGGAAAUAGCACGAGAGAAUGUGAUACUUGGGAAAAUUAUGUAGAGAGAGAGAUUAAAGAUGCAAGCUAUAAAAGGAAUUGAUAAUAUAAAAGCUCCUGAGAAGAUUGGAAGAAUACAUAUAAGAGACCCUGAUCCUUGAUAGGAUGGACCUUUUCUAGAACUACCAUCACCCUGGAAGCUGAAGAAAAUCAUUCGUAACUGAGGCACACUUGCCUUUUGCAACUAAGCUCUACUGAAUUCCAAAGCUAUAGAAAUAUCCAUCUUGACCUGGAAAGUCUGUUUCUUUGCUAGUCCAGAAGGUUUUUUUUAACAUGAACAAGAUCCUCUCAAGCACUGUUUGCUUUGGACUCCUAACUUUGUUAUCCGUGUUGAGUUUUUUACAAUCUGUGCAUGGACGACCAUAUCUUACCCAAGGAAAUGAAAUA
rnacentral:lncRNA from 10 species